rnacentral:rRNA from 1 species
CGCGUAGGCGGCUUGGUAAGUCCGUUGUGAAAUCCCUCGGCUCAACCGAGGAACUGCGACGGGUACUGCUUGGCUUGAGUCCCGGAGAGGGUAGCGGAAUUCCCAGUGUAGCGGUGAAAUGCGUAGAUAUUGGGAGGAACAUCGGUGGCGAAGGCGGCUACCUGGACGGGUACUGACGCUGAUGCGCGAAAGCUAGGGGAAGCAAACA